rnacentral:rRNA from 1 species
UUAGAUCAGAAGCGAGAAUGUUGACAUGAGUAGCGACAAACAGGGUGAGAAACCCUGUCGCCGAAAGUCCAAGGGUUCCUGCUUAAAGCUAAUCUGAGCAGGGUAAGCCGGCCCCUAAGGCGAGGCCGAAAGGCGUAGUCGAUGGGAACCAGGUUAAUAUUCCUGGGCCAGUGGGAUGUGACGGAUCGCAGAUGUAGUUUGCCCUUAUCGGAUUGGGUGGGCUGCUGAGCGGUUCCAGGAAAUAGCCCCACAUCAGACCGUACCCUAAACCGACACAGGUGGACUGGUAGAGUAUACCAAGGCGCUUGAGAGAACCACGUUAAAGGAACUCGGCAAAAUGCCUCCGUAAGUUCGCGAGAAGGAGGCCCCAUAUGUACGCAAGUAUGUGUGGGGGGCACAAACUAGGGGGUGGCGACUGUUUACUUAAAACACAGGGCUGUGCGAAGCCGUAAGGCGACGUAUACAGUCUGACGCCUGCCCGGUGCUGGAAGAUUAAGAGGAGGGGUGCAAGCUCUGAAUUGAAGUCCCAGUAAACGGCGGCCGUAACUAUAACGGUCCUAAGGUAGCGAAAUUCCUUGUCGGGUAAGUUCCGACCUGCACGAAUGGCGUAACGAUCUCCCCGCUGUCUCUAACGUGGACUCAGCGAAAUUGAACUGUGUGUCAAGAUGCACACUACCCGCGGUUAGACGGAAAGACCCCAUGAACCUUUACUCCAGCUUUGCACUGGUAUCAGGAUUGUGAUGUGCAGGAUAGGUGGUAGGCAUUGAAGCGGGGACGCCAGUCUUCGUGGAGCCUCCCUUGAGAUACCACCCUUCGCCAUCUUGAUAUCUAACCGCGGCCCGUUAUCCGGGUCCGGGACCCUGCAUGGUGGGGAGUUUGACUGGGGCGGUCGCCUCCCAAACAGUAGCGGAGGCGCGCGAUGGUUGGCUCAGACCGGUCGGAAAUCGGUCGUUGAGUGCAAUGGCAGAAGCCAGCCUGACUGCAAGACUGACAAGUCGAGCAGAGACGAAAGUCGGUCAUAGUGAUCCGGUGGUCCCAAGUGGGAGGGCCAUCGCUCAACGGAUAAAAGGUACUCUGGGGAUAACAGGCUGAUGAUGCCCAAGAGUCCAUAUCGACGGCAUCGUUUGGCACCUCGAUGUCGGCUCAUCUCAUCCUGGGGCUGGAGCAGGUCCCAAGGGUAUGGCUGUUCGCCAUUUAAAGAGGUACGUGAGCUGGGUUUAGAACGUCGUGAGACAGUUCGGUCCCUAUCUGCCGUGGGUGCAGGAGACUUGAGAAGAGUUGACCCUAGUACGAGAGGACCGGGUUGAACGAACCACUGGUGGACCAGUUAUCGUGCCAACGGUAGUGCUGGGUAGCUAUGUUCGGACAGGAUAACCGCUGAAGGCAUCUAAGCGGGAAGCCCCCUUCAAAACAAGGUCUCCCUUGAGGGCCGUGGAAGACGACCACGUCGAUAGGCCAGAGGUGUAAGUGCAGCAAUGCAUUCAGCUGACUGGUACUAAUUGCCC